rnacentral:rRNA from 1 species
CCUACGGGCGGCAGCAGUGAGGAAUAUUGGUCAAUGGGCUUACGCCUGAACCAGCCAAGUCGCGUGAGGGAAGACUGCCCUAUGGGUUGUAAACCUCUUUUGUCAGGGAGCAACGCCGGCUACGUGUAGCCGGACUGAGAGUACCUGAAGAAUAAGCAUCGGCUAACUCCGUGCCAGCAGCCGCGGUAAUACGGAGGAUGCGAGCGUGAUCCGGAUUUAUUGGGUUAAAAGGGUGCGUAGGCGGAAGGCCAAGUCAGCGGUAAACUCGCGGGGCGAAACCUCGCUCCGCCGAUGAAACUGGCGUUCUUGAGUGGGCGAGGAGUAUGCGGAAUGCGUGGUGUAGCAGUGAAAUGCAUAGAUAUCACGCAGAACUCUGAUUGCGAAGGCAGCAUACCGGCGCCCAACUGACGCUGAAGCACGAAAGCGUGGGUAUCGAAAAGGAUUAGAUACCCCAGUAGUC